GUCCCUAUAGCUUAACCCAAAGCAUGACACUGAAGAUGCCAAGAUGGCUGCUCCUGCACCUAGGGACA
rnacentral:tRNA from 1 species